AUAUAAUAAUCAUUAAAUAACAUUUCAACUUAAUUUUCUAUGCUAAAUUUUAUUCAAUAAAAACAAUCACAGAAAUUUCAAUUUUCUUACAGCUGUUAAGAUAACUUCCAUUUUUGGAUUCAUAUUUGAACAAAGUAAAAUUCUAACUAGCAAACAAUUUAAACAUCUUCUCAAAUUUAAAACUUAUAAUUUGUUGCACAUGAAAGUCAUCAUAAUACAGGAGUUGUAAAAAUAGUACAUUCUAUAACAUGACUGGUAUCUUAGUACAGAAAUAUAUCAGUAGGUCAACAUGGCCAGGCAAUUCAUAAGUAUGUCAACAUAGUGCAGUAUAUAUUAGUAAGUCAACAUGAUAAGGCAAUACAUCAGGCAAUAUAUCAGUAAGUCAACAUGGUCAGGCAAUCAAUCAGUAAGUCAACAUGGACAGGCAAUAUAUCAGUAAGCCAACAUGGUCAGGCAAUAUAUCAUUAAGUCAAUAUGGUCAGGCAAUAUAUCAUUAAGUCAAUAUGGUCAGGCAACAUAUCAGUAAGCCAACAUGGUCAGGCAACAUAUCAGUAAGUCAACAUGGUCAGGCAAUAUAUCAUUAAGUCAAUAUGGUCAGGCAAUAAAUCAGUAAGUCAACAUGGUCAGGCAAUCAAUCAGUAAGUCAACAUGGACAGGCAACAUAUCAGUAAGCAAACAUGGUCAGUCUACAUAUCAGUAAGUCAUCAUGGUCAGGCAAUAUAUCAUUAAGUCAAUAUGGUCAGGCAAUAAAUCAGUAAGUCAACAUGGUCAGGCAACAUAUCAGUAAGUCAACGUGGUCAGGGAACAUAUCAGUAUGUCAACAUUGUCAGGCAACAUAUCAGUAAGUCAACAGGGUCAGGCAAUCAAUCAGUAAUUCAACAAGGUCAGGCAAUAUAUCAGUAAGUCAACAUGGUCAGGCAAUAUAUCAGCAAGUCAACAUGGUCAGCCAACAUAUCAGUUAGUCAACAAGGUCAGGCAAUAUGUCAGUAAGGUAAGUCAGGCAACAUAUCAGUAA